rnacentral:rRNA from 1 species
GCAAGUCGAGGGGUAACGGGGAGCUUGCUCCGCCGACGCCCGCCGUACGCGUGCGUAACGCGUAUACAACAUACCGCGUACCGGGGAAUAGCCCGAAGAAAUUUGGAUUAAAGCCACAUAUUAUGAGAUUUUCGCAUGAUAAUUACAUUAAAGGCAACGGUAAGUGAUGGGUAUGCGUUCUAUUAGCUUGAUGGAGUGGUAACGGCACACCAUGGCAACGAUAGAUAGGGGCCCUGAGAGGGGGAUC